rnacentral:rRNA from 1 species
UACAGAGGUCUCAAGCGUUGUUCGGAAUUACUGGGCGUAAAGGGCUCGUAGGCGGCCAACUAAGUCAUACGUGAAAUCCCUCAGCUUAACUGGGGAACUGCGUGUGAUACUGGAUGGCUUGGAUUUGGGAGAGGGAUGCGGAAUUCCAGGUGUAGCGGUGAAAUGCGUAGAUAUCUGGAGGAACACCGGUGGCGAAGGCGGCAUCCUGGACCAACACUGACACUGAUGAGCGAAAGCCAGGGGAGCAAACGGG